GACGUCGAAUAUCGACGUCAUAAACACCAAAGUUGAUCGUGUUUAUGACGUCGAAUAUCGUGUUUAUGACGUCAUAAACACCAAAGUUGACCGUGUUUAUGACGUCGAAUAUCGACGUC